AUGGAUGUGGGACCCCCAAAUUGGGGACCCCGGAUUGGGGACACCCUAUUGGGGAGCCCUAUGGGUUUGGGACCCCCAAAUUGGGGACCCCAUGGAUGUGAGACCCCCAAAUUGGGGACCCCUGAUUGGGGAACCCCUAUUGGGGAAACCUAUGGAUGUGGGACCCCCAAAUUGGGAACCCCCUACUGGGGACCCCAUGGAUGUGGGACCCCCAUAUUGGGGACCCCCAAAUUGGGGACCCCGUGGGUGUGGGACCCCCGAAUUGGGGACCCCGGAUUGGGGGACCCCAUUGGUGGAGAUCCCAUAAUGGGGACCCCGGAUUGGGGGCCCCCUAUUGGGGAACCUCAUGGGUUUGGGACCCCCAGAUUGGGGACCCCAUGGAUGUGGGACCCCCAAAUUGGGGACCCCCAUACUGGGGACCCCGUGGGUGUGGGACCCCCAAAUUGGGGACCCCGGAUUGGGGGCCCCCUAUUGGGGAACCUCAUGGGUUUGAGACCCCCAGAUUGGGGACCCUAUGAAUGUGGGACCCCCGAAUUGGGGACCCCAGAUUGGGGACCCCCUAUUGGGGAAACCUAUGGAUGUGUGACCCCCAAAUUGGGGACCCCCUACUGGGGACCCCAUGGAUGUGGGACCCCCAUAUUGGGGACCCACAAAUUGGGGACCCCAUGGGUGUGGGACCCCCGAAUUGGGGACCCCGGAUUGGGGGACCCCAUUGGUGGAGAUCCCAUAAUGGGGACCCCGGAUUGGAGGCCCCCUAUUGGGGAACCUCAUGGGAUUGAGACCCCCAAAUUGGGGACCCCAUGGAUGUGGGACCCCCAAAUUGGGGACCCCCAUACUGGGGAACCUCAUGGGUUUGGGACCCCCAAAUUGGGGACCCCCAGAUUGGGGACCCCAUGGAUGUGGGACCCCCAAAUUGGGGACCCCCUAUUGGGGAACCCUAUGGGUUUGAGACCCCCAAAUUGGGGACCCCCGAAUUGGGGACCCCAUGGAUGUGGGACCCCCGGAUUGGGGACCCCAUGGGUUUGGGACCCCAUUAUUUGGGGACCCCAUUGUUUGUGA
rnacentral:lncRNA from 1 species